GCCCUUUUUCUCAUUUAAAAUUUUGGUUCUCUCUCUCUCUCUCAAUUCCAACAGAAACAAAAGAAAAAGGAGGAAGAAAAAAACAAAGUCCAAAUUUGAAGCUGAGGUUGUCUGCUCCUCCAUGGUAGAGCAAUUCGUGACGUAAAAUGGUGGUGGGAAGCCAUUCGAGCCAUGGUGUUCAUCGUCAAUGGAGAUCAUUUCAUGAUUUCUCCACGGCCGGGAAAAUAAUAAUCUCCCUUGAUGUUGGAUUAAAUGGAAGCAAAAGCUACUUAUUCAUGAAGCGACUUCUGGAGCCCAGUUAGACCCUUUUUGGCGGAUCCAAAUCCUUGUUUCCUUUAAAAACCCAA